CUCUCUCUCUCUCUCUCUCUCUCUGUGUUCAGGGUCCUAGAGGUGUGCUUGGGCCAAACGGUCCACCUGGGCCCACUGGACAGCCUGGUGUGGCUGGAGUGGACGGUCCUCACGGUCCCAAAGGAAACAUGGGACCUCAAGGAGAGCCGGGACCACCAGGUCAGCAGGGGAUCCCAGAAACACAAGGACUUCCUGGUCCUCAAGGUCCCAUCGGACCACCCGGUGAACGAGUAAGUUGGAGCUCUGCUCUUCGGUUGCCUGUCAACUAAACUGACCUGAAAGUGUUGUGUUAGUAAGGUAGUGGUACAAAA
rnacentral:lncRNA from 13 species